rnacentral:rRNA from 1 species
AACCGACUAAUGUUGAAAAAUUAGCGGAUGACCUGUGGCUGGGGGUGAAAGGCCAAUCAAACCGGGAGAUAGCUGGUUCUCCCCGAAAGCUAUUUAGGUAGCGCCUCGUGAAUUCAUCUCCGGGGGUAGAGCACUGUUUCGGCUAGGGGGCCAUCCCGGCUUACCAACCCGAUGCAAACUGCGAAUACCGGAGAAUGUUAUCACGGGAGACACACGGCGGGUGCUAACGUCCGUCGUGAAGAGGGAAACAACCCAGACCGCCAGCUAAGGUCCCAAAGUCAUGGUUAAGUGGGAAACGAUGUGGGAAGGCCCAGACAGCCAGGAUGUUGGCUUAGAAGCAGCCAUCAUUUAAAGAAAGCGUAAUAGCUCACUGGUCGAGUCGGCCUGCGCGGAAGAUGUAACGGGGCUAAACCAUGCACCGAAGCUGCGGCAGCGACACUUUAGUGUUGUUGGGUAGGGGAGCGUUCUGUAAGCCGUUGAAGGUGUCCUGUGAGGGGUGCUGGAGGUAUCAGAAGUGCGAAUGCUGACAUAAGUAACGAUAAAGCGGGUGAAAAGCCCGCUCGCCGGAAGACCAAGGGUUCCUGUCCAACGUUAAUCGGGGCAGGGUGAGUCGACCCCUAAGGCGAGGCCGAAAGGCGUAGUCGAUGGGAAACGGGUUAAUAUUCCCGUACUUGGUGUUACUGCGAAGGGGGGACGGAGAAGGCUAUGUUGGCCGGGCGACGGUAGUCCCGGUUUAAGCGUGUAGGCUGGUUUUCCAGGCAAAUCCGGAAAAUCAAGGCUGAGGCGUGAUGACGAGGCACCACGGUGCUGAAGCAACAAAUGCCCUGCUUCCAGGAAAAGCCUCUAAGCAUCAGGUAACAUCAAAUCGUACCCCAAACCGACACAGGUGGUCAGGUAGAGAAUACCAAGGCGCUUGAGAGAACUCGGGUGAAGGAACUAGGCAAAAUGGUGCCGUAACUUCGGGAGAAGGCACGCUGACACGUAGGUGAAGUGAUUUACUCA